rnacentral:lncRNA from 1 species
AAAGCAUUAAAAAUCAAGAAAAACCAUAAAUCAAAUAUUGCAGUUCAAGGCAAUUUCUAAUAGCAGAAGAAACCAAAACCAAGAGAAAAAAAGAAAAGAAAAGUGGUCCUAGCAUAGCAAUUUCCACCGGGUCCGUACCAAGUUCGUGGUCCCUCUCCGGUGACCUUAUUGGGCGUUUUGAUUUGAGAAAGAUUGUAGCUAAAUAGUAAUCACACCUUUUUGUUCACCCAUUCACAACCACCACUACUUGCAUUCUCUCUUAUCUAUAUAACCACCAUCUCCUCUCCCACUUCUUACCCACACCCAGAUUCCCUUUUAUAUUCCUUCGUCAAAUUUAAAACAAUCCACUACAAAAAUCUGAGAGAAGAAAAGAAAAAUAGAAAACCCCCAAAAGUUUCGGAAUCAAGAGAUAGCUUUCUCUCUUAUUUUCUUUCUAAGUAUCCAGAAGUUUAUUUGUGAUUUGGUGAAAAGGGUAGGAGUUAGUUUUUGUAAAAGAGAGGUGCUUUUUUCAGGGUAAUACCCAGGGUAGACAAGUUGUAGACAUCACGGCUAUACACGGAGUAACUCGGCCUCUAAUUCAUGUCCGUGCAGUACGACGUAAGGGUUGUGUAACCGAGAGCAGCAACCCUUCGCCGCACGGUGGACGUGGUGCUUUGCCUUCUGAAGGCGGUAGUCCUUCCGAUCUCCUUUUCCUAGCUGGUGGUGGUUCUGUCCUUUCCUUUGUUGCUUAGAGUAGUUUCUUUUUAUAUUUCUGCAUUCAAUAGCUGCAAGGAUAAUAUAUAAACAAAGGUGUUUGUUUAGAGGUAUUAGAUUUCUCUAUUAAGCAAAAUCUAUUGGGAAUUUCGAGAAUUUUCUUAAAGAUAAGAUGAGUAACAAAUUGAUGCUGAGUAUCAAGAGGGUUCCCACUGUUGUUUCCAAUUUCCAAAAGACGAGGCCGAGAUGGUGCUN